rnacentral:tRNA from 3 species
GCCCCCGUAGCUCAGUUGGAUAGAGCGACGGUUUCCUAAACCGCAGGUCGCGCGUUCGAGUCGCGCCGGGGGCA